GUGCUUGCAUUGACAGCACAUAUUUGAAAAUUAGAAUGCUAUAGAGAAGAUUUGCAUGACUCCUGCAUAAAGAUGGCACCCAAAUUCACGAAGCGUUCCAUAUUUUU
rfam:Otolemur garnettii contig011586, whole genome shotgun sequence.